rnacentral:misc_RNA from 1 species
AAUUCUCAACCUUGCAAGCUUUUUUGCUAGUGAGGCUUGGAUGUGAGGGCUUUUGCUGGCUUCCUUCAUUGGAUGGUCUGCUCCCUUUAAAUUCAUUAGUGGAUUCCUUUGUGGAUGGUCACUUGGUGUGAUAAUUAUCUACGCCGCCUGACUCUGACACAAGACUUGUGGGGACCUGCUUAUAACCGUCUCGUUCAAGAGACAAUCUACAUUGACU